UACGAAGGGGGCUAGCGUUGUUCGGAAUUACUGGGCGUAAAGGGCGCGUAGGCGGCCUGUUAAGUCGGACGUGAAAUCCCUCGGCUCAACCGGGGAACUGCGUCCGAUACUGGCGGGCUUGAAUUCGGGAGAGGGAUGUGGAAUUCCAGGUGUAGCGGUGAAAUGCGUAGAUAUCUGGAGGAACACCGGUGGCGAAGGCGGCAUCCUGGACCGACAUUGACGCUAAGGCGCGAAAGCGUGGGGAGCAAACAGG
rnacentral:rRNA from 1 species